rnacentral:rRNA from 1 species
UACGUAGGUGGCAAGCGUUUAUCCGGAAUUAUUGGGCGUAAAGCGCGCGCAGGCGGUUUCUUAAGUCUGAUGUGAAAUCCCUCGGCUCAACCGAGGACGUGCAUCGGAAACUGCGGGGCUUGAGUACUGAAGAGGAUCGCGGAAUUCCCGGUGUAGCGGUGAAAUGCGCAGAUAUCGGGAAGAACACCCGUGGCGAAGGCGGUUCUCUGGGACGGUACUGACGCUGAGACGCGAAAGCGUGGGGAGCGAACAGG